rnacentral:rRNA from 1 species
GUAGGGAAUAUUGGUCAAUGGAUGGAAGUCUGAACCAGCCAUGCCGCGUGCAGGAAGAAGGCCUUCUGGGUUGUAAACUGCUUUUGCCAGGGGAUAAAAAGACCGUGCGCGGUUAAUUGAAGGUACCUGGUGAAUAAGCCACGGCUAACUACGUGCCAGCAGCCGCGGUAAUACGUAGGUGGCAAGCGUUGUCCGGAUUUAUUGGGUUUAAAGGGUGCGUAGGCGGCCCCGUAAGUCAGUGGUGAAAUAUCUCAGCUUAACUGAGAGGGUGCCAUUGAUACUGCGGGGCUUGAGUACAGAUGAGGUAGGCGGAAUUGACGGUGUAGCGGUGAAAUGCAUAGAUAUCGUCAAGAACACCGAUAGCGAAGGCAGCUUACUAAGCUGUAACUGACGCUGAGGCACGAAAGUGUGGGGAUCAAACAGGAUUAGAAACCCGAGUAGUCC